UACGUAGGGCGCAAGCGUUGUCCGGAAUUAUUGGGCGUAAAGAGCUCGUAGGCGGCUUGUCACGUCGAUUGUGAAAGCCCGAGGCUUAACCUCGGGUCUGCAGUCGAUACGGGCUAGCUAGAGUGUGGUAGGGGAGAUCGGAAUUCCUGGUGUAGCGGUGAAAUGCGCAGAUAUCGGAAGGAACACCAGUGGCGAAAGCGGCUUCCUGGUCCAGCACCGACGUUCAGGCACGAAGGCGUGGGGAGCAAACAGG
rnacentral:rRNA from 1 species